rnacentral:rRNA from 1 species
UACGUAGGGGGCUAGCGUUGUCCGGAUUUAUUGGGCCUAAAGCAUCCGUAGCCGGUUCUACAAGUCUUCCGUUAAAUCCACCUGCUUAACAGAUGGGCUGCGGAAGAUACUAUAGAGCUAGGAGGCGGGAGAGGCAAGCGGUACUCGAUGGGUAGGGGUAAAAUCCGUUGAUCCAUUGAAGACCACCAGUAGCGAAGGCGGCUUGCCAGAACGCGCUCGACGGUGAGGGAUGAAAGCUGGGGGAGCAAACCGG